rnacentral:tRNA from 1 species
GGAAUAGUACUCAAGCGAUUUAAGAGGACAGCUUGGAAAGUUGUUAGGUAGGGAGUGUAUCUCUAUGCGAAGGUUUGAAUCCUUUCUAUUCCG